rnacentral:piRNA from 1 species
UGAGAUGGGAAAAGGAGGUAGCGUUA